rnacentral:rRNA from 1 species
UUGAACUGAAGAGUUUGAUCCUGGCUCAGAUUGAACGCUGGCGGCAUGCCUUACACAUGCAAGUCGAACGGCAGCACGGGCUUCGGCCUGGUGGCGAGUGGCGAACGGGUGAGUAAUACAUCGGAACAUGUCCUGUAGUGGGGGAUAGCCCGGCGAAAGCCGGAUUAAUACCGCAUACGAUCUACGGAUGAAAGCGGGGGACCUUCGGGCCUCGCGCUAUAGGGUUGGCCGAUGGCUGAUUAGCUAGUUGGUGGGGUAAAGGCCUACCAAGGCGACGAUCAGUAGCUGGUCUGAGAGGACGACCAGCCACACUGGGACUGAGACACGGCCCAGACUCCUACGGGAGGCAGCAGUGGGGAAUUUUGGACAAUGGGGGCAACCCUGAUCCAGCAAUGCCGCGUGUGU